AGUUAUUUUCUAUUGGUCAACAAUGGCAUGUGGUUCAGGCUCAACAGAAGAUCAAACAGGACAGAACACAAACAAUGAAGUUGAAUUGUGUCCUAAUCCAGUUUAUCAUUCUUUGGACCAGGGUGACACUCAACCUCCAGAAACAGUGAAAACCACAGUAGCAUACAUGGCUUCACCAGGUAUCUACCAAGCUGUGGCAGAGGAUGCUUGCUAUUCUACAAUACCGUAGUGUUGCUGUUGGGUUGGAGCCGAUCCUAGGAAAGGUAUACCUUGGACAGGUCGCCAGUCUAUCAUGGGUCUGUAGCAUGUCCUCAACUUGUGGAGGCAUCAUGGGAUAUUUGUGAACAUACCCAUGUAAACCACUGAUCUCCGCCAACUCCGCCUUGAACAACACCCCAGGCCAAACCAGGACCAGGGUUUUGAUAAAUUGGAUAAGUCUACCACAGCCCACUGUGUAUGCCCUUGGCACCUUACCAGAAUGCUGUAUUUCCCUCCUG